rnacentral:rRNA from 1 species
CGUUCCCGGGCCUUGUACACACCGCCCGUCACACCACGAAAGCUGGUUGAACCAGAAGCCGUUGACCCAACCCGCAAGGGAGGGAGCCGUCCAAAGGUUCGGCCGGUGAUUGGGGUG